UACGGAGGGAGCUAGCGUUGUUCGGAAUUACUGGGCGUAAAGCGCACGUAGGCGGCUUUGUAAGUUAGAGGUAAAAGCCCAGGGCUCAACCCUGGAAUUGCCCUUAAGACUGCAUCGCUUGAACAUCGGAGAGGUAAGUGGAAUUCCGAGUGUAGAGGUGAAAUUCGUAGAUAUUCGGAAGAACACCAGUGGCGAAGGCGACUUACUGGACGAUUGUUGACGCUGAGGUGCGAAAGCGUGGGGAGCAAACAGG
rnacentral:rRNA from 1 species